CAGUAGCCACGGUAAAACAGAGGGUGCGAGCGUUAAUCGGAUUUACUGGGCGUAAAGCGUGCGUAGGCGGCUUUUUAAGUCGGAUGUGAAAUCCCUGAGCUUAACUUAGGAAUUGCAUUCGAUACUGGGAAGCUAGAGUAUGGGAGAGGAUGGUAGAAUUCCAGGUGUAGCGGUGAAAUGCGUAGAGAUCUGGAGGAAUACCGAUGGCGAAGGCAGCCAUCUGGCCUAAUACUGACGCUGAGGUACGAAAGCAUGGGGAGCAAACAGGAUUAGAUACCCCCGUAGUCCCUGUCUCUUAUAC
rnacentral:rRNA from 1 species